GCCCGCAUGGCGCAGUGGCGUGCGUCUGGCAACCCCUUUUCUAAGGGGUCUGGUUCGAUUCCAGCUGCGGGCC